UAAUUAGUUCAUAAGUAAUGUGUGUACAGGUGUUAAUAAAUAGAUAGAUCUGUUCAAUACUUCUUUGUCUAUAUGGUUGUAAACAUUGUUGUUUUUUGUUCAACAGGGGGGCCUUCUGACAUGCUCAUUCCUGUUGCUGCUGGAUUGGCUGGCCCUGUUGUUCUUGCCGUCUACUUCGCCGCUGCCACUGGAUUCAAUUUUUACAAAAAGAAGAAAGCCAAACUCCCUCCACAAUCUCCUCACAACAUCUCUAUGGACUCUAUGUAAAUGCAUAAACUUCUGAUUUACAAACACAUCCUGCACACAGUGAGUUACUUCAAAUAAGACGGUAAGCAGUAAAUGCUGUGACGUGAACUAAUCACAUCUCCAGUUAAACAACAUCUGAAAUGAUAAGCUUCUACAACAAACCUUUAUAUUAAAGACCCUAAAAAACUUGCUUUAGAAAUCUUGAGUAUAAAUAUAACAUGAAAUAGUCAUGAAGCACAAAGCAAAAAAGAUUUUUUUUUUUAAAUUUCUUUAUUAGGAGUUGACAAAAUGAUAUGUUUGUGUGUGUGAUUAAUAUCCGUUCUGUAUUAUAGGUUUAUAUACUCAAACAUUCAGUUCAUAUACUCACUAUAUAACUAUAUAACUCUAUUUGUACUCUAUCUAGAUAUGCAUAUAGUUUGGGUCUUAUAGAUAAACUACUGUAACAUGUAUGGAACCAUCCCAAUGAAGUAGAGGUAAAUAAAAUGUCCUCUCUGGUGUUUGACAACUUGACAGCAACAUCCUGAUUAUUUAGCUUAAUUAAAAGAAAAAUGUUGUGUAAAUAUUCUGAUUAUAUAUUUCUUUUAAAGUAUGGUUUUGGUCUUUAAGAAUCUCAGCCAUCACUCAGCAUGUCAGAUGUGUUUGAUAUUCUCAUAUUUUGUAUUUUAUUUUAGAAUCAUUAAUGUCAAAUAAAAUUACUCUUACAUU